rnacentral:rRNA from 1 species
UAGGGAAUAUUGCACAAUGGGCGCAAGCCUGAUGCAGCAACGCCGCGUGAGGGACGACGGCCUUCGGGUUGUAAACCUCUUUUAGUAGGGAAGAAGCGAAAGUGACGGUACCUGCAGAAAAAGCACCGGCUAACUACGUGCCAGCAGCCGCGGUAAUACGUAGGGUGCAAGCGUUGUCCGGAAUUAUUGGGCGUAAAGAGCUCGUAGGCGGUUUGUCGCGUCUGCUGUGAAACCCCGAGGCUCAACCUCGGGCCUGCAGUGGGUACGGGCAGACUAGAGUGCGGUAGGGGAGAUUGGAAUUCUUGGUGUAGCGGUGGAAUGCGCAGAUAUCAGGAGGAACACCGAUGGCGAAGGCAGAUCUCUGGGCCGUAACUGACGCUGAGGAGCGAAAGCAUGGGGAGCAAACA